rnacentral:tRNA from 1 species
ACUGUAGCGCAAUGGAUAGCGCGCGCGCGUUGGACUUCUAAUUCAAAGGUCGUGGGUUCGAAUUCCACCUGGAAUG